GAUGAACGCUAGCGGGAGGCCUAACACAUGCAAGUCGAGCGGGAAUCCCUUUCGGGGGAUGAGAGCGGCGCACGGGUGAGUAACGCGUAUGCAACCUGCCCCGGACAGGGGGAUAGCCCGGAGAAAUCCGGAUUAAUACCCCAUAUAAUUAUGAAGUCGCAUGAUUUUAUGAUUAAAGCUACGGCGGUUCGGGAUGGGCAUGCGUGACAUUAGCUAGUUGGUGAGGUAACGGCUCACCAAGGCUGCGAUGUCUAGGGGUUCUGAGAGGAUGAUCCCCCACACUGGUACUGAGACACGGACCAGACUCCUACGGGAGGCAGCAGUGAGGAAUAUUGGUCAAUGGGCGCAAGCCUGAACCAGCCAUCCCGCGUGAAGGAAGACGGCCCUAUGGGUUGUAAACUUCUUUUGUACAUGAAGAAAGGGACCUACGGGUAGGUUCGUGACGGUAAUGUACGAAUAAGCAUCGGCUAACUCCGUG
rnacentral:rRNA from 1 species